CUCAGACUGACUGACUCUCCAUGAAGUCCCACUGAUCUUUGAUAGUUACAAUGGAUAUUAGAGACAGGGAAAGAAGGGGGAAAAAAUGUAGCUGCUUGGUAGAGAGAGGCAAGUCACCUGCUUCACAAACUUCUUGUCUAACCUCCAGGACCCUGAAGCACCUCCAGGUGUGUGCUCUUGUGGCAUUUUGACUCCACGCCAGGAGUGCUUCAUGCCAGUUUGUGUUUGCUUACUUCACCACUGAGAGCAGUAAAUCAGUGCAAAAAUUUUGGCACCAAGUUGGCAUUUGUAUCCUUCCUCCUGUAUCUUUUUUUUUUUUUUUAAUUUUCCACUAAAGAUUUUCAAGCCCCAAAUGAAAAAAGAUAUAGGAAGUGACCAGUGCUUACUUCCUUUGAAAUUAAAACCAAAUCCUCAUCUCAGUUCUAGUCAGUGGGUUUAAGUUCUGUUGACUGUGUAGCCUGGAGUCCAGCCACAGAUGUUCCUGAUGCCCCAUUACAUAGACAAACCAGUACAAAGCUAAUGUAUUAGUUAUAUAACUUAUCUUUCCUUACUCCAUCUUUAUUUUUAAGACCACUUUGAAAAAGAGUAAUUUUCUGUGUUGAUAUAUCAGUAUGGAAUUUAUUUCUUCCCUUUUUGGUUUGGCAUAAGAUAGACCAAAACAUCAGGUUUUAUGUGGGUGAUAGUCCAAAAUGGACAGAGGUAGUGAAAGGAUGAUAUCAUUAUUUGCAGUUUUUAUUCUGAAGAGAUGAAAAAUGCAGAGUUUUUGUCUAGUAAGUGCUUCUGCUUUCUCUAACAAAGUUGUGGACAGAUAGUUGAAAACAGAUACCCUGUAACUUACAGCUUGAUAUCCAGCUUGAGUGAUAUCAUGGUCUAAACAUGUUCCAAAAUAAUGGAAAGAGCACAAGAAACAAUCAAAGUGUGGGUCCUUCCGGUGAAAUGCACUGCAUAUGUCUGACUAUCACAUAUUUCUGGGAGCUAUAGCUGAUUAACACAUUUGGCUGUUACUUGGAAGAGCAGUAGGUGAUAUCUGCUCAAGGACAGAACUCGUGUUUUUGGAGAGUAUCACGGGAUGUCGUGCCAAAGGUGGCAGGAACUGGACUCACUUUCCACUCCAGCGUGCCAACGACUGAUUCACCUAACGUAUGAAAUUGAAUAAUACCUGGUGACAAUUUUUUUUUCAUUCCUCUGGAUUUCUUACAAUUUUAUUUUAA